rnacentral:rRNA from 1 species
AGAGUUUGAUCCUGGCUCAGGACGAACGCUGACGGUGUGCUUUAGACAUGCAAGUCGAACGAGAAAGCCCUUCGGGGUGAGUACAGUGGCGAACGGGUGAGUAACACGUGGGCAAUCUGCCCCUCGCAGGGGGAUAACCGGGGGAAACCCCGGCUAAUACCCCGUACGCUUGCGGAGCCGCAUGGUUCCGUAAGGAAAGGUAGCUUCGGCCAUCCGGCGAGGGAUGAGCCCGCGGUGCAUUAGCUAGUUGGUGAGGUAACGGCUCACCUAGGCGACGAUGCAUAGCUGGUCUGAGAGGAUGAUCAGCCACACUGGGACUGAGACACGGCCCAGACUCCUACGGGAGGCAGCAGUCGGGAAUCUUGCGCAAUGGGCGAAAGCCUGACGCAGCAACACCGUGUGAGCGACGAAGGCCUUCGGGUCGUAAAGCUCUGUUGUUGGGGACGAAGGGUUAGGGGUUAAUAGCCCCGAGCCUGACGGUACCCUUCGAGGAAGCCCCGGCUAACUACGUGCCAGCAGCCGCGGUAAUACGUAGGGGGCGAGCGUUGUCCGGAAUCAUUGGGCGUAAAGAGCGUGUAGGCGGUUUGGUAAGUCUGCCGUGAAAACCUGGGGCUCAACCCCGGGCGUGCGGUGGAUACUGCCAAGCUAGAGGGUGGUAGAGGCGAGUGGAAUUCCCGGUGUAGCGGUGAAAUGCGCAGAUAUCGGGAGGAACACCAGUAGCGAAGGCGGCUCGCUGGGCCAUACCUGACGCUGAGACGCGAAAGCGUGGGGAGCAAACAGGAUUAGAUACCCCAGUAGUCC